AAAGGCACGACAUUGCUCACAUUGCUUCCAGUAUAUUUUUAUUAGCCGGCUCGGGUGCCGGCUAUUUUUU
rnacentral:antisense_RNA from 1 species